AUGAAUUUAGCCCACAAAAAUCUGCUUGCUAUCCUUGUGCAUAUACUGUAUUCAGUUUGGGGAUUUCAGAGGCUUUUCUCUGCUUGCUGUCCCUUCAGAUCUGGAUGUGAUAACAAACUACAGCCUGGGCAAUGGGUGUUUGACUUGCAGCUCUACAUCUUCCUGCUUUUCUGAAGGAUACAAUCUUACAUUACCCUGGGCUUGAGCAGUAAAGGAUAAAUUUGAUCACUGGCUGCCUUGUCAUCUCUUCAUUGUGAUGGAAAAAUGUUUGUCUAAAAUAAACCCUUUGUUAUGCUGCUAAAACUGCCUUUG
rnacentral:lncRNA from 1 species